rnacentral:tRNA from 1 species
GGAGGGUUGGCCGAGCGGUAAGGCUGCGGCUUGCUAAGCCGUCGACAGGGCUCCGGUCCUGCGCAGGUUCGAUCCCUGCACCCUCCGC